ensembl:lncRNA
UUAUUAUUUUUAAUAGUUAUUAAUUUAAUAUGUUCAGAUCAGUUGAAGGUCAAUAUAUGAUCAAUGUUCUAAUCAGAGAUACUUAGCAGAGUAAACGGACCAAACAUAAAAACAUAUUUAUGAUUUCUGAAUCAGCAGCUGAAUACAUGUCGGUUUCCAUGGCAACGCGAUGCGUCCAGUGUGUGAUGCUGUGAUGGAUUCAUUCAGUGGUUUUAGUCAUGUUCAGAUCAGCAGGUUGGAGGUGAAGCAUCAGUUACCAUGGAGAUCUAGCUCCUCAGCAUCUGUAACCAUGGAGAUCUAGCUGUGCAGCAUCAGUUACCAUCCAGAUCUACAUCCACAGCAUCAGUUACCAUGGAGAUCUAGCUCUGCAGCAUCAGUUACCAUGGAGAGCUAGCUGUGCAGCAUCAGUUACCAUGGAGAUCUACAUCCACAGCAUCAGUUACCAUGGAGAUCUAGCUGCGCAGCAUCAGUUACCAUGGAGAUCUAGCUCCUCAGCAUCAGGUACCAUGGAGAUCUAGCUGUGCAGCAUCAGUUACCAUGGAGAUCUAGCUCCUCAGCAUCAGUUACCAUGGAGAUCUAGCUCCACUGCUGUCUUAUCUUGGUGUAAAUAUUCAGCUGCAGAACUGAUGUAUUUUGCUCGUGUGACUCUUUGAACAUGUUUUAUUUCAUCAUGUCUCCCUGUCUGUCUGUCUGUCCAUUUGUCUGUCUGUCCAUCCGUCCAUCUGUCUGUCUGACUGUCCGUCCAUCCAUCUGUCUGUCUGUCUCCCUGUCUGUCUGUCCGUCCGUCCGUCUGUCUGUCUGUCUGUCCAUCUGUCUGUCCGUCCGUCUGUCUGUCUGUCUCUCUGCAGGACAUCUUGGUCCUGCUCCUGGACUCUUCCGGACACCAAAAUCCGACGGAAUCAAUCAGCUCGUAUUAUCCUGACAGCAGAAUCAUCAUCUAACAGAUAAAUAUUCCUGAACCAAAAGAGUAAAUCAACUGUCCGACCAUCUACAUUAAAGGACUGACGCUGCUCCCCCCUCCAGCCCGACAUGCUCAGGUCCUGCAGGCUUCCUUCAGAUCCAGAACCAGAACCAGGACCAGAACCGGGCCUGAUCAUUCAUCACCCCCCCACGGCCUUAACUGAGCGGGGGGGAGGAGCUGCAGGAGCUGCUGUGACUCUUUAACCAGCCGAGACGAGACUCCCCCCAUUUCAGAAUGGUUCAGUCCAACAAGGACCAGAGGGGGGAGGGGGUGUACAGUCUGAGCAUGCUCAGUCCGGACUGCUGGAGAGGAAGUGUAGUUUACUCCUGUGUAACGUGUGUGUAACGUGUGUGUGAUGUGUGUGUGUGUGUGUGUGUGUGUGUGUGUGUGUGUGUGUGUGCGUGUGUGCGUGUGUGGAUGUGUGUGAUGUGUGUGAUGUGUGUGUUUGUGUGAUGUGUGUGAUGUGUGUGAUGUGUGUGUGUGUGUGUGUGUGUGUGUGUGUGUGUGUGUGUGUGUGUGUGUGUACGGUGUAGGUCCAUGUCUCUGUGUGCGUCUGCCGGUUGUUCCCUUUACGUUGCUGAUGUUUACAGCUGCAGAAGCCACAUACUGUAAAUUUUUCACCGUGUUUUUUUGCGUUUCACCUGCCAGGUUUUUCAUGUGUGUGUGUGAUGUCUGUGCAUGUGCGGUGGGUCGGUGGGUUCCCCCCACGUUGUGUCUGACUCGGGCAGGUCCGCUGACUCCCAGCGUGGAGGCGCUCCACGGGGCUUAUUUAUUCAUUUGUUCAUAUUUAACAAUAUUUGUUUGAUCUUGCGGUCAUGUGAGCUGUUACUCACUCUUCAGAAUGCCAAGAGCUGAUGUGUGACGACUACUACCAAUCAACAUACCAACAAACUGCAUUUACAAAAGCUACUGUAAACUAAUGGUGGAAUAAAUUGUGCUAGAUGAAGAAGACUCCUGCUCUCCUUGUUCUUCUCCUGCUGCUGCAACGACUUCACAACCGUCACAACCGUUUUAGUUCAACAACAACAAACUCAGUCAGAACUGGAGACAAAAAGGGGCAAAGCGAACAUAAAGAGACACAACCAGACACAAAAUGACCAAAAACAGACAGAAAACAACCAAAAAGAGACACAAAAUGACGAUAAAGAGACAAAAAGAGACACAAAAUAACAAUAGAGACACAAAGCAACCACAAAAAGAGACAAAGCUACCACAGACAGAUGCAAACACACAAAAUGACAAAAAACAGACACAAAAAAGAGAAAGAAAGAAAGAAAAAGAAAACACCAGCCAUCCAAUAAGGAAGCAAACUGAACCUAAAUAGAAGCUGACGGACUAGAAAGAGAUGCUAACCGGUCACAAACAGACAGAAAAUGAACAAAAAGAGACACAAAAUGACAGCAAAGAGACACAAAAUGAUAAAGAGACAAAAACAACCACAAAGAGACGCAAAACGGCCACAAAGUGAAACAAAACAACCACAGAGACACAAAAUGA